AUUGAACGCUGGCGGCAGGCUUAACACAUGCAAGUCGAGCGGAGUUUUGGUGCUUGCACCAAGACUUAGCGGCGGACGGGUGAGUAAUGCUUAGGAAUCUGCCUAUUAGUGGGGGACAACAUUCCGAAAGGAAUGCUAAUACCGCAUACGCCCUACGGGGGAAAGCAGGGGAUCUUCGGACCUUGCGCUAAUAGAUGAGCCUAAGUCGGAUUAGCUAGUUGGUGGGGUAAAGGCCUACCAAGGCGACGAUCUGGAGCGGGUCUGAGAGGAUGAUCCGCCACACUGGGACUGAGACACGGCCCAGACUCCUACGGGAGGCAGCAGUGGGGAAUAUUGGACAAUGGGCGGAAGCCUGAUCCAGCCAUGCCGCGUGUGUGAAGAAGGCCUUUUGGUUGUAAAGCACUUUAAGCGAGGAGGAGGCUACUAGUAUUAAUACUACUGGAUAGUGGACGUUACUCGCAGAAUAAGCACCGGCUAACUCUGUGCCAGCAGCCGCCGUAAGAC
rnacentral:rRNA from 1 species